rnacentral:misc_RNA from 1 species
UCCGGUUUGGCACCGGCAGUCUCCCUAGAGUUCCCGGCAUUAUCCGCUGGCAACUAAGGACAGGGGUUGCGCUCGUUGCGCCACUUAAGGCAACACCUCACGGCACGAGCUGACGACAGCCAUGCACCACCUGUGCAGGCUCCGAAGAGCACCCGCUUUCACGGGUUUCACCCUGCAUGUCAAGCCCAGGUAAGGUUCUUCGCGUUGCAUCGAAUUAAGCCGCAUGCUCCGCCGUUUGUGCGGGCCCCCGUCAAUUUCUUUGAGUUUUAAUCUUGCGACCGUACUUCCCAGGCGGCGCAUUUAUCGCGUUAGCUACGCCACAAACGGGGUCGAUUCCGUUUACAGCAAAUGCGCACCGUUUCUAGGAGGGUG